rnacentral:rRNA from 1 species
GGGUUGUGAGGUUAAGCGACUAAGCGUACACGGUGGAUGCCCUGGCAGUCAGAGGCGAUGAAGGGCGUGCUAAUCUGCGAUAAGCGCCGGUAAGGUGAUAUGAACCGUUAUAACCGGCGAUACCCGAAUGGGGAAACCCAGUGUGAUUCGUCACACUAUCAUUAACUGAAUCCAUAGGUUAAUGAGGCGAACCGGGGGAACUGAAACAUCUAAGUACCCCGAGGAAAAGAAAUCAACCGAGAUUCCCCCAGUAGCGGCGAGCGAACGGGGAGGAGCCCAGAGCCUGAAUCAGCAUGUGUGUUAGUGGAAGCGUCUGGAAAGGCGCGCGAUACAGGGUGACAGCCCCGUACACAAAAGCGCAUGUGCUGUGAGCUCGAUGAGUAGGGCGGGACACGUGGUAUCCUGUCUGAAUAUGGGGGGACCAUCCUCCAAGGCUAAAUACUCCUGACUGACCGAUAGUGAACCAGUACCGUGAGGGAAAGGCGAAAAGAACCCCGGCGAGGGGAGUGAAAAAGAACCUGAAACCGUGUACGUACAAGCAGUGGGAGCACAGGUUUACCUGUGUGACUGCGUACCUUUUGUAUAAUGGGUCAGCGACUUAUAUUCUGUAGCAAGGUUAACCGUAUAGGGGAGCCGUAGGGAAACCGAGUCUUAACCGGGCGUUAAGUUGCAGGGUAUAGACCCGAAACCCGGUGAUCUAGCCAUGGGCAGGUUGAAGGUUGGGUAACACUAACUGGAGGACCGAACCGACUAAUGUUGAAAAAUUAGCGGAUGACCUGUGGCUGGGGGUGAAAGGCCAAUCAAACCGGGAGAUAGCUGGUUCUCCCCGAAAGCUAUUUAGGUAGCGCCUCGUGAACUCAUCUCCGGGGGUAGAGCACUGUUUCGGCUAGGGGGCCAUCCCGGCUUACCAACCCGAUGCAAACUGCGAAUACCGGAGAAUGUUAUCACGGGAGACACACGGCGGGUGCUAACGUCCGUCGUGAAGAGGGAAACAACCCAGACCGCCAGCUAAGGUCCCAAAGUCAUGGUUAAGUGGGAAACGAUGUGGGAAGGCCCAGACAGCCAGGAUGUUGGCUUAGAAGCAGCCAUCAUUUAAAGAAAGCGUAAUAGCUCACUGGUCGAGUCGGCCUGCGCGGAAGAUGUAACGGGGCUAAACCAUGCACCGAAGCUGCGGCAGCGACACUGAUGUGUUGUUGGGUAGGGGAGCGUUCUGUAAGCCUGUGAAGGUGGCCUGUGAGGGUUGCUGGAGGUAUCAGAAGUGCGAAUGCUGACAUAAGUAACGAUAAAGCGGGUGAAAAGCCCGCUCGCCGGAAGACCAAGGGUUCCUGUCCAACGUUAAUCGGGGCAGGGUGAGUCGACCCCUAAGGCGAGGCCGAAAGGCGUAGUCGAUGGGAAACGGGUUAAUAUUCCCGUACUUGGUGUUACUGCGAAGGGGGGACGGAGAAGGCUAUGUUGGCCGGGCGACGGUUGUCCCGGUUUAAGCGUGUAGGUGUGUGUUCCAGGUAAAUCCGGUUCACUUUAACACUGAGGCGUGACGACGAGGCACUACGGUGCUGAAGCAACAAAUGCCCUGCUUCCAGGAAAAGCCUCUAAGCAUCAGGUAACAUCAAAUC